CCUACGGGAGGCAGCAGUGGGGAAUAUUGCGCAAUGGGCGAAAGCCUGACGCAGCGACGCCGCGUGAGGGAUGAAGGUCUUCGGAUCGUAAACCUCUGUCAGCAGGGAAGAACGGUCCCUGUGCUAAUCAGCAGUGAAUUGACGGUACCUGCAAAGGAAGCACCGACUAACUCCGUGCCAGCAGCCGCGGUAAUACGGAGGGUGCGAGCGUUAAUCGGAAUUACUGGGCGUAAAGGGCUCGUAGGCGGUAGGGCAAGUCAAGGGUGAAAUCCCCGGGCUCAACGCGGGAACUGCCUUUGAAACUGGCAAGCUGGAGUGUGUGAGAGGCUAGUGGAAUUCCUGGUGUAGGAGUGAAAUCCGUAGAUAUCUGGAGGAACAUCAGUGGCGAAGGCGACUAGCUGGAACAUGACUGACGCUGAGGAGCGAAAGCGUGGGUAGCAAACAGGAUUAGAUACCCGUGUAGUC
rnacentral:rRNA from 1 species